CACACACACACACACACACACACACACACACACACACAGAGUGUAAUUCCAUUUGCCAAAAAGUCCAAAGCAUACAUAGCAUUGUGAUUUUUCAGUCCAAACAAAGACAAAACCAAAUGUAAGACUGAAAACUAAAGGUAUUUUGGUUUUCCAGUUGGAUUCAGUCUCUGGCAAAAGUCUCUCAAUGGAUUAUUUCUUAUCUCCCAACCCCCCAAUCAGCUAAAAUGUUCUAGUAAACAUACAUUGAGCUCUCUCUGAUAUCCAUCACAUUCUGCCAGUUCUUUAAAAAUGAUGAACAUGAGACUCAGAGCAGAAGGUGGCAGGGGAAAACGCAGCUGGUACCAGGAGCAAUCAGAAGCAGCAGGGGCCGUUUCUACUCUCCCUGUUCCAGGACAUGGGGUGAAGAGACCACGUAUAUCCCCUGGAUCACGGAGGAGCAACAGGAUGGCCAGAGGAAGGACACCUAUGUUGGAAGCUUUCUCCAAACAGUUCUCUAUUCAGCUUUGGCCCAAUCAGGGCUACAACAGCCACAGUUUAGCCAAUACCUUAAAUGAGUGAGAGAAACGUGACAAUUCAAAAUAGUGCAAACAAAAGCCCAGAAAGUCACAAAAGUUGGAGUGUUUGCUAAUGAGAGAAUCUUCUCCGUAAUCACUAGCCAUGUUCUAAACAGGCCCAAAGGACACACAAUCUGGUCAUGGCAGGACAGUAGCAUGGCUUUUAAAUGGGGUAAUUUUAAUCCUUUGAGAUUCGAACUGCUUCUUGAAACGUAGAGUGUGAAUUACAGUACUUAGAUAUGGUCCACAUUUAUCUGUAACAAAAGACAUCUAUAUUUUAAUGCAAAUCUAAGGACCAUUUCUGGGGUAAAUUUAUACAAGACAAUAACAUACAUAUAUAUAUGUAUAUAUACAUGUGUGUAUAUGUCUAUAGAUGUUAUAAAACAUAAAGAACCUAACACUCUACAUUUGAAGCCCUUUGUAGGAUUCACUUUAUUUCUGAUUUGAAAAGAAAUAACUUAUUUGUGUAUCGAGCAUCAAUGUGGACAUGGAUGCCAACCAUCCUUUCAGUUUUACAAAUCUGCUUGUGCCUUCAUCAACAGGCAGAUCUACUUACUUACCAUGAUCUUAAACAAGAUAAAAUAUCCUUCUUUAAAAAAUUGUUACAAAUAUUUAUUAAAAAGUGCAAUUCAAAAGUUAGCUAGGCAAGCACAUCAUUGCAAAUCACAAAAACA